AGGCGGGUAGCUCAGUCGGUUAGAGCGCAAGUCUUAUAAACUUGAGGUCCUGGGUUCAAUUCCCAGCCCGCCUACCA
rnacentral:tRNA from 1 species